UACGUAGGGACCAAGCGGUUGUUCGGAUUUACUGGGCGUAAAGGGCGCGUGAGGCGGCGUGGUAAGUCACUUGUGAAAUCUCUGAGCUUAACUCAGAACGGUCAAGUGAUACUGCUGGUGCUAGAGUGCGGAAGGGCAAUCGGAAUUCUUGGUGUAGCGGUGAAAUGCGUAGAUAUCAAGAGGAACACCUGAGGUGAAGACGGGUUGCUGGGCCGACACGUGACGCUGAUGCGCGAAAGCCAGGGGAGGACAAACGGG
rnacentral:rRNA from 1 species